AUGAACGCUGGCGGCGUGCCUAAUACAUGCAAGUCGAGCGAACGGACGAGAAGCUUGCUUUUCUGAUGUUAGCGGCGGACGGGUGAGUAACACGUGGAUAACCUACCUAUAAGACUGGGAUAACUUCGGGAAACCGGAGCUAAUACCGGAUAAUAUUUUGACCCGCAUGGUUCAAAAGUGAAAGACGGUCUUGCUGUCACUUAUAGAUGGAUCCGCGCUGCAUUAGCUAGUUGGUAAGGUAACGGCUUACCAAGGCAACGAUGCAUAGCCGACCUGAGAGGGUGAUCGGCCACACUGGAACUGAGACACGGUCCAGACUCCUACGGGAGGCAGCAGUAGGGAAUCUUCCGCAAAGGGCGAAAGCCUGACGGAGCAACGCCGCGUGAGUGAUGAAGGUCUUCGGAUCGUAAAACUCUGUUAUUAGGGAAGAACAUAUGUGUAAGUAACUGUGCACAUCUUGACGGUACCUAAUCAGAAAGCCACGGCUAACUACGUG
rnacentral:rRNA from 1 species